UCAAGGACAUAUCACAUUCCGUGGUCUGGUUCUUGUGAGGCACACACACCACUGCGACACUCUCGUUCAAAACGCUAAGAGUAGAGGCACCAGCUGCAGGUGCAUAACAAAUGACCAGCUGCAGGUGCUUAACGAAUGUGCUGCAGUAACGUGAGCUGUUCUCCGGUAGUUUUUUUUUCUUUUUUUUUUUUUUUAAUUACUCUAAGCAUGGGCUCCUACUACAGCAGUAUUACCAAAACGUCAGGCGAACCCGGUGGGGCUGCGGGGUUCUCCUCAGUGAAGAAAGAUCUGACAGCAUCGCAGGUAGAGCUGGCAAGAAGAAUGGCUGAGAGGCAAAUGGCAAUGCAAGUGGCUACCGUUCGCGAAUUGAUGGUUUGGUUUGUUCCCUUCCUCGCGUCUUCCUAUGGGUUCCUGUACUAUGGGUAUCGCAAGACCAAAAGUUGGGUGGUAAUGUUUCCACUUAUCCCCAUCACAUUUGGUUUUGGAUACCAGGUUCACUUCGCAUACGGCAACAAAACUAACCAAAUUAAAACCCUUGCUGAGAAGAUAAUGAGCACAGAAGUCCACAUGAUGGCAGUACCAGAGUGGUCCAGCCCCUCUGAAGCACAACAGCAAGCACAACAAGAAAGAAUGAAAGAGGAAUAUAGAACAACUUAGUCUAUGCAAUCAAUUUCACAUCUCACCUCAUCUUGUAGAUCUGUAUUAUUCUAAGUACAGUACAUAUUAUAACCACCCAUAAAGCUUGACUAUAAUGAAGGAAAAUCUUCAUUGCACCUGUACAUCUUAAUAUCCUCUACUGUUAAAUAAACAUGCAACAUUCAA